AUUGAACGCUGGCGGCAUGCCUUACACAUGCAAGUCGAACGGUAACAGGUCUUCGGAUGCUGACGAGUGGCGAACGGGUGAGUAAUACAUCGGAACGUGCCCGAUCGUGGGGGAUAACGGAGCGAAAGCUUUGCUAAUACCGCAUACGAUCUACGGAUGAAAGCAGGGGACCGCAAGGCCUUGCGCGGACGGAGCGGCCGAUGGCAGAUUAGGUAGUUGGUGGGAUAAAAGCUUACCAAGCCGACGAUCUGUAGCUGGUCUGAGAGGACGACCAGCCACACUGGGACUGAGACACGGCCCAGACUCCUACGGGAGGCAGCAGUAGGGAAUUUUGGACAAUGGGCGAAAGCCUGAUCCAGCCAUGCCGCGUGCAGGAUGAAGGCCUUCGGGUUGUAAACUGCUUUUGUACGGAACGAAAAGACUCUUUCUAAUAAAGAGGGUCCAUGACGGUACCGUAAGAAUAAGCACCGGCUAACUACGUG
rnacentral:rRNA from 1 species